AUUGAACGCUGGCGGCAGGCCUAACACAUGCAAGUCGAGCGAGCGGCGGACGGGUGAGUAAUGUCUGGGCAACUGCCUGAUGGAGGGGGAUAACUACUGGAAACGGUAGCUAAUACCGCAUACCAUCAGAUGUGCCCAGAUGGGAUUAGCGAGUUGGUGGGGUAAUGGCUCACCAAGGCGACGAUCCCUAGCUGGUCUGAGAGGAUGACCAGCCACACUGGAACUGAGACACGGUCCAGAAUCCUACGGGAGGCAGCAGUGGGGAAUAUUGCACAAUGGGCGAAAGCCUGAUGCAGCCAUGCCGCGUGUGUGAAGAAGGCCUUCGGGUUGUAAAGCACUUUCAGCGGGGAGGCGUUACCCGCAGAAGAAGCACCGGCUAACUCCGUGCCAGCAGCCGCGGUAAUAC
rnacentral:rRNA from 1 species